AUACGGAGGUUGCAAGCGUUACUCGGAAUCACUGGGCGUAAAGGACGCGUAGGCGGAUUGGAAAGUCAGAUGUGAAAUCCUACAGCUUAACUGUAGAACUGCAUUUGAAACCUCUAAUCUAGAGUAUGGGAGGGGGAGAUGGAAUUAGUGGUGUAGGGGUAAAAUCCGUAGAUAUCACUAGGAAUACCGAAAGCGAAGGCGAUCUCCUGGAACAUAACUGACGCUAAGGCGUGAAAGCGUGGGGAGCAAACGGGAUUAGAAACCCUAGUAGUCC
rnacentral:rRNA from 1 species